UACGUAGGGUGCAAGCGUUGUCCGGAGUUACUGGGCGUAAAGCGCACGCAGGCGGUCUGCUAAGUUUGGAGUGACAGUUGGUGGCUUAACUGCCAAAGUGCUUCGAAAACUGACAGACUUGAGGGCUUCAGAGGGACACGGAAUUCCGGGUGGAGUGGUGAAAUGCGUAGAGAUCCGGAGGAACACCAAAGGCGAAGGCAGUGUCCUGGGGAGUACCUGACGCUCAGGUGCGAAAGCCAGGGGAGCGAACGGG
rnacentral:rRNA from 1 species